CUCCUCCCCGGCCUCCCUCUUCCCCAGCCUCCCUCCUCCCAGCCUCCUUCCUCCCGACCUCCUUCCUCCCGGAGACAGCAGGGGCCUCCUGCAGGGGCUCUCCCUCUGCCGGCAGGUUGUCCUCCCCUUGGCCCAGGCUGUGUUCCUUGGGAACUGGUCCCUGACCGCAGGGAGCUCGGUGCCCGUCCUGCAGCGAGGCAGGGCCAGGUCUCAGCCUGCUCAGCACCACGUGCUCUUUGGUCUUCACCGGCUUCGGCACCACCGCACUGGUCUUCCUGCCGGCACCACAGCUGACACGGGCUCUGUCUCAGAGGAAAAGGGGCCGUGCUUUCCACUGGCCAGAAGGAAGAGACGCCGUCUUGGCCUGGCUGCUCCCGCCCGUGUCGCCCCUAAGAGAGCACCGUGUGCUCCGCUGUUCUUACACUGUCUUUGCAAUGAUGUAAAUGCAAAAAGCCACCUGGCUGACAGCGAGUGACUGGUCUUACCGAUGUGAAGGCCUUUUAAACAUAUCAAGACUCCGGUGCAUCACAGGUGUGCGUGGGGUGGGAGGCCAGGGGCUGUGUUCCCUCAGCUUUGUCUUAAAGAGUAUCAAUGUGAAUGUCAUAAUUAUAUCUAUUUUUGUGGAAGAUUUCUCCUAAGUAUAAGUUAUUGUGCAAAAUAUAGUACCAUUGAAACAAAUGAUAGUUUUAGUUUAGAAAUCCUAAAAGAUAUAAAUUGUAUUACAUAUGCAUUAAAAGUUUGUUUUAUUUAAUUUUAUGUAGCUGUGUAAAGUGUUAGGUAAAGUUUUUCUCACUUCUCCAUUGAAACACCUUGUUACUUGAAUGUCGUGCUGGCUGGUUUGAAACAGUGAUCAGUUCUGUAAUGCAGUUCUUACCCAGGAAGCCGCCGCCUCUGGGACUGGUGAGCGCGGCCAGGAGCCGAGGUCGGGCGGCACCGCUGAGCGGGCUCGCUGUGUGUGCCACCCCGACGCCAGUCCCGUGAAAUGCUUUGAUAGUUUUUAACCUGUAAGACCCUUUGAUGCUCACAGACCUCUGAUCAGAACGUGAGCAUGAGAACACAGUUGGUUUACAGCUUGACUCUGCAGGACAAAGUAAGCAGUUUCCUGCGUGUGUAAAGUUUCCUCACAUGUCACGCGCCUGUGAGUGUGCUCGUUGUCACUUUACAUUCCUACUCCCCCUGUUUUCGUCUUUCUGAAUAUCACAUGUACUGUCGGUAUAACCGUGCACCAAAAAUAAGCCGCCAGUGCGUCCCACUGGCCGGACCUGCCGGGGCACAGGCGGUGGAGCUGCCUUCCUCUAGCCCCUUGCUGAACCCUAGGACCCAGGAUUCAAGCUUUUGUUCUGUUUUUCUGCAUUAUUUUAUUUAUAUUCAUAUCUGAAUCCCAAAUUUAUAAAACAGCUCUACACCUGUAUUCCACAACUAAACAUGACACUUCCUUAAGUUAUUACCGUCACGCCAUCGAUGAGUUCGUUUUCAAGCCACGAACCAUGUGCCAGAGGGUCUUUCCUCUGCUUUGCAGGUAACGGCAUUGCCACCAACUGUGUUCUUCGUGGUUUGGCCCUUUGGCCAAAAAGGCGUAUAGGUCUUGUUUCAGGUUCAUUGUAGGAUGACGGAGAGCAGCGAUUUCAGUGGUGGCUCCCCGUCUGCCUCGGGAGUCCUGAAGGCUUCUUGUCCUUUUCCGGCUCCAUAUGGAGCGUAGCACCGCCCUCGGCCCAAGCGGAGCGACCCGCCCAGAGCAGAGAGCGCCCUUGGCUGCUUCGCUAGCUUCCCUCCCACCAGCCAGACCGUCCCGCUGGGCUCUGCUCCGCUCGGGCCCUUGUUUCCCGAAUGAGAAGGGGCUGGGGCUCCUUCCUCGGUGGCGGAGCCUCAUUGGACCCCAUCAACCGCUCGUGCACCCUUCACACGGACUUGGUUUUUAUCGUCAGGAGCCGAAAGGUUGGUCUUUGAAACACCUAAUAGUUCCCUUAUCUUACCCAAAAAAUUUCAAAAUAUGCAACAAUAUAAAAUUCCAGUUUUUCAUCCCUGGAAUAAAUGUAAUUACAGAUGCCUCACACUGUUCUGGGAAUAAUUCCCACGCCUCUGGACCAUGACGUUUUCCCUCCGCUGUUGUCUUCCCAGAGGAUGUCUGUCCACGCAAACACGGUUCCCUCGUCCCCCUCCAGGACACGCUUCACCGCCCUCCGCGCAGCCCGCUCUGGAGACGCGCUGGACUGGGAGGCCCGGGCCAGUGCACACGGCUGGGCGCCAUCAGGACCGCGUCUUCUGACACUUGUGGGUGUACGCGCUCAGUCCUGGAGGAAGCAAGUGGUGGCAGCGGGUCUAGGGCCUCGAGGCUGAGUGAUCCGCGCUGGCUCCCCCGCACCGGCCUGGGCAGACUGCAGGGCCCGGGGUUCUGGAGGUUGGGAAGGUGGUUCCCUCCUUCCUCAGGGAGGGCAGAGCCCCCACUUCUUCCCACCCCAUCUGCUUGGCGGCUGCCCCACCCCUACCCUCACCCCCAGGCACUCCUAAAGCCCAGACUCCAGCUUUUAAUCAUGUGCAGCUUUGCCUCAUGACGAGGCCUGAGAGGCCCAG